rnacentral:rRNA from 1 species
UACGGAGGGUGCAAGCGUUAUCCGGAUUCACUGGGUUUAAAGGGUGCGCAGGCGGGCUAUUAAGUCCGUGGUGAAAUCCCGGGGCUCAACCCCGGAACUGCCAUGGAUACUAUUAGUCUUGAAUGUUGUUGAGGUGGGCGGAAUAGGUCAUGUAGCGGUGAAAUUCGUAGAUAUUAGGAAGAACACCAGUGGCGAAGGCGGCUCACUGGUCCGGUACUGACGCUGAGGUGCGAAAGCGUGGGGAGCAAACAGG